GGCUCGAUGGUCUAGUGGUAUGAUUCUCGCUUAGGGUAACACCCUUUGCAAGCAUAUGCAUCAAUCUGAUCAUAUGUGAUUAUGCGAGAGGUCUCGGGUUCGAUCCCCGAUUGAGCCC